AUUGCCAAUGCACCUGCCCUCUGACUCUGCAAAGCCCAGCCUCCCAGGAUGGGAAAAACUCCCCUGGGGCCCAGAAGUCAAUGGUCUGCUCAGGCAUUCCUCUCCCUGCAGUUCUCCACAUUCAGCCUUUCUUUGCCCAGAUGGUAUCAGCCAAAUGGAAACCCAUUAGCCAAAAGCUGUAUUUAAGCAAGUGUUCUGUUUGGACAUCAAAGGAAACGUCACAGUGGAAAUGAUAAUAAACAACAAGGAUCAUCAUCAUUUCAAAGAGACAACAUCAGUGCCUAUGGUUCCAACGAGACCCUGGAGUGCCAGUUGCUUUAUCUGCAAACACAAACUGCAAGUCACCUGCCUCUUCAGGUCAGGGAGCCAGACUCAGACUGGAACAGCCUGGCUGGAACAGACUGGAACAGCCCUGAGAUGCCUCCGAAUCCCGUCCUCUGCUGCCAGAUGUGACCAUCACUGGCCUGAACUCAUCUCUCCUGGUCAGGCCACCAAGCUCAACCUGCCUGAAAGAAUCCCAGAGAAGCCAGGGGUUCAGAGAUGGGGACCCUGCAGGUGGUCCAGCCUCCCUAUCCUCAUCCCCAGUUUGGUCCCUUGUCCAAACC